GACGAACGCUGGCGGCGUGCUUAACACAUGCAAGUCGAACGAAGUGGCGAACGGGUGAGUAAUACGUGGGUAACCUGCCCUCCUUUUUGGGAUAAGCCUUGGAAACGGGGUCUAAUACCGAAUAAAGGGGGAUGGGCUCGCGGCCUAUCAGCUUGUUGGUGGGGUGAUGGCCUACCAAGGCGGUGACGGGUAGCCGGCCUGAGAGGGUGACCGGCCACAUUGGGACGGAAAUGCGGCCCAGACUACUACGGGAGGCAGCAGGGGGGGAUAUGGCACAGUGGGAGAAGGACAGAAGCAGGGAAGCCGGAUGGGGGAUGAGGGCUUUCGGGUUGAAAACCUCUUUAGCUAUCGAACAGGUAGGUGGAGAAGAAGCGCCGGCUAACUACGUGCCAGCAGCCGCGGUAAUAC
rnacentral:rRNA from 1 species